rnacentral:rRNA from 1 species
CAGCAGCCGCGGUAAUACGUAGGGUGCGAGCGUUACUCGGAUUUACUGGGCGUAAAGCGUGCGCAGGCGGCCCGUUAAGACAGGUGUGAAAUCCCUGGGCUCAACCUAGGAAUUGCGCUUGUGACUGGCGGGCUCGAGUACGGUAGAGGGGGGUGGAAUUCCUGGUGUAGCAGUGAAAUGCGUAGAGAUCAGGAGGAACACCGAUGGCGAAGGCAGCCCCCUGGGCCUGUACUGACGCUCAUGCACGAAAGCGUGGGGAGCAAACAGGAUUAGAUACCCUGGUAGUCCACGCCCGAAACGAUGGGUACUAGCCGUUUGGCGCGCGAUAGCGCUGAGUGGCGAAGCUAACGCGUGAAGUACCCCGCCUGGGGAGUACGGCCGCAAGGUUGAAACUUAAAGGAAUUGGCGGG